rnacentral:rRNA from 1 species
UACGUAGGGUGCGAGCGUUAAUCGGAAUUACUGGGCGUAAAGGGCUCGUAGGCGGCCAACUAAGUCAGACGUGAAAUCCCUCAGCUUAACUGGGGAACUGCGUCUGAUACUGGAUGGCUUGAGUGCGGUAGGGGAGACUGGAAUUCCUGGUGUAGCGGUGAAAUGCGCAGAUAUCAGGAGGAACACCGGUGGCGAAGGCGGGUCUCUGGGCCGAUGACUGACGCUGAGGAGCGAAAGCGUGGGGAGCGAACAGG